CCUACGGGAGGCAGCAGUGAGGAAUAUUGGUCAAUGGACGCAAGUCUGAACCAGCCAAGUAGCGUGAAGGAUGACGGCCCUAUGGGUUGUAAACUUCUUUUAUGAGGGAAUAAAGUGAGGCACGUGUGCCUUUUUGUAGGUACCUUAUGAAUAAGGACCGGCUAACUCCGUGCCAGCAGCCGCGGUAAUACGGAGGGUCCGAGCGUUAUCCGGAUUUAUUGGGUUUAAAGGGAGCGCAGGCGGCCUGUUAAGUGUGUUGUGAAAGUCUGUGGCUCAACCGUGGAAUUGCAGUUGGUACUGGGGGGCUUGAGUACAGUGGAGGUAGGCGGAAUGCGUGGUGUAGCGGUGAAAUGCUUAGAUAUCACGAAGAACUCCGAUUGCGAAGGCAGCCUACCAAACCGUUACUGACACUGAUGCUCGAAAGUGUGGGUAUCAAACAGGAUUAGAUACCCGGGUAGUC
rnacentral:rRNA from 1 species